AGUGAACGCUGGCGGUAGGCCUAACACAUGCAAGUCGAACGGCAGCACAGUAAGAGCUUGCUCUUACGGGUGGCGAGUGGCGGACGGGUGAGGAAUACAUCGGAAUCUACUUUUUCGUGGGGGAUAACGUAGGGAAACUUACGCUAAUACCGCAUACGACCUACGGGUGAAAGCAGGGGAUCUUCGGACCUUGCGCGAUUGAAUGAGCCGAUGUCGGAUUAGCUAGUUGGCGGGGUAAAGGCCCACCAAGGCGACGAUCCGUAGCUGGUCUGAGAGGAUGGUCAGCCACACUGGAACUGAGACACGGUCCAGACUCCUACGGGAGGCAGCAGUGGGGAAUAUUGGACAAUGGGCGCAAGCCUGGUCCAGCCAUACCGCGUGGGUGAAGAAGGCCUUCGGGUUGUAAAGCCCUUUUGUUGGGAAAGAAAAGCAGCAGGUUAAUACCCCGCUGUUCUGACGGUACCCAAAGAAUAAGCACCGGCUAACUUCGUG
rnacentral:rRNA from 1 species